CCCCCUGGGCUCAAUUAAAGGCUAGCCUGUAGAUGAAGAACGUCUCCUGGAGGAAGGCUACUUCUUCAGAAGAAGCGUUCUACAGCUAGAGUUUCUCAUCAUUGGUUGGCAUUGUGCUACUCUUUCCACUAUGCCAUUAGGGCCCAGGAUUGGUGGCCUCAUUUCCAGCUGGGUAGGGAUGUUAUGAUUCAGUUUGUGACACUGGACAGUGAAUCUAACUUCUAUGGAAAGCAGACUUCUCUUUUGAAAAUGGACUCUGUAACAUAUACACUCAACUUUUUCAGACCAUUUGAGUUUUCGGCUCACUACUUUUGAAGAAAAACCAUGGAUCAACACCUGUCACUCUGUGGGAAGGAGCACAAAGAAGAUGAAGUAACCAGCAAAAGAAACUCUAGUCCUUCAGAUGCUGAGUAUUACAAGGAAAAAUUUUUGACUACAAGCAUUUGUUAGCUUGUUUCCACUGAACUUCAGAGGAAGGUUUUGCAGCUUCAAGAGAUCAGAGACCUACAAUAAGAUUUGGUAUUCACACCUGGAAGAUGUGAAGACAUUUAAGAAGCACAAAAAAAAGAUAAAAGAAUUUAAACGUUUCAGCCUUAUCUGUGGAUUGAGGAGUUCAAAUAAAUCAUCCUAUUGAAGAGAAAGUUGAGAGAAAAAUUGGUCUCUGCAAAUAGAUAUGAACACCUGAAAAAGGUCAAUGGGAAUGUUUUCAGCACUGUUGACUAAGGUAUGAAAGGAUACAAGUUUUAGAACCAGCAUAUUCAUUCACUUUCUGCAUACUUAAACAGAUCUGCCUGUGUGUGCUACAUGGUUAUAAUAGUGGCAGGUCUUACCUAAAACAAAAAUUCAUACUUCAACACAGCAGCUACUUGCCUCUGGGUUAUAUAUAUUUCUUGUAUGUGUGAUGCAUAUAAAAUUGCUCAGCUCAUUGUUAUACAUUCUACUCCUGUAUGAUAAAGUCAAGAAAAUACAGAUGAUUAAUAAAAGACAGUUCAGAAAAUGUUUUUCUCAUCAGUGAAUACCUGGUGU